UACGAAGGGGCUAGCGUUGCUCGGAAUCACUGGGCGUAAAGGGUGCGUAGGCGGGUCUUUUAAGUCAGGGGUGAAAUCCUGGAAGCUCAACUCCAGAACUGCCUUUGAUACUGAAGAUCUUGAGUUCGGGAGAGGUGAGUGGAAUUCCUAGUGGUAGAGGUGAAAUUCGUAGAUAUUAGGAAGAACACCAGUGGCGAAGGCGGCUCACUGGCCCGGUACG
rnacentral:rRNA from 1 species